rnacentral:rRNA from 1 species
GAUGAACGCUGGCGGCGUGCCUAAUACAUGCAAGUCGAGCGAACGGACGAGAAGCUUGCUUCUCUGAUGUUAGCGGCGGACGGGUGAGUAACACGUGGAUAACCUACCUAUAAGACUGGGAUAACUUCGGGAAACCGGAGCUAAUACCGGAUAAUAUUUUGAACCGCAUGGUUCAAAAGUGAAAGACGGUCUUGCUGUCACUUAUAGAUGGAUCCGCGCUGCAUUAGCUAGUUGGUAAGGUAACGGCUUACCAAGGCAACGAUGCAUAGCCGACCUGAGAGGGUGAUCGGCCACACUGGAACUUAGACACGGUCCAGACUCCUACGGGAGGCAGCAGUAGGGAAUCUUCCGCAAUGGGCGAAAGCCUGACGGAGCCACGCCGCGUGAGUGAUGACGGUCUUCGGAUCGUAAAACUCUGUUUUUAGGGAAGAACAUAUGUGUAAGUAACUGUGCACUUCUUGACGGUACCUAAUCAGAAAGCCACGGCUAACUACGUG